UCCAUCUUUUCCCUCUACACUUUUCAUUUUUAUUUUUUUCAUUUCAUAACACAGCCUCUAGCCCUCGUUUCUCACUGCCUCACUUCCAGUCCACGACCCUAUCUCAUUUCAGUUUCUCUCUCUUCCUUUCGCUCUCUCUUUCUUCACUGGCCUCUCAGUUUUCUCUUCGUCAUCGACAAUUCGAGAUCGCCAAGGAGAUCGCCAAGGACUGGGUUAAGCUCUUCGUUUUCUCUACCUUCUUCCUUCACACAUCUCUCAGCCGGAGCUUCCUCCUUUCCCUCCAGUUAUGAUUAGAUCUUUUGUAAAGAUCCAAUAUUGGGGCCGCUAAGUUUGUGAAGGAGAUGGGGCUCAAUUAUCGAGCUGCACUUAGCAAUAUCACCAAUUUCAAAAGAGAGGCUUUUGGGUAUGUGACUUUUUCUUAGAAUCUGAAUCUAUUUCUGGGUUUUCGUUCUGCCAUAGACCCAUUACAAAGUUGGAACUGACUCAUAUUUGAUCUCCAUUUUUGGUUAAUCCACUAGCUCCGUCAGAUUUGUUGUCAUUCUCGUCCUUAUUAUUUUUUUUUUUGUAAGUUGAAUCAUGGAUUUUUAUUCUUGUUGUGCUGUUUUGAUUGUCAAAUUUGAAGUGUCAGUCUAAAUUUUUGGUUUAAUUCCUCUCCUCAUUUGUGGUCUUCUAAAUGUGCCUUUUGCAAAGGCACUUCAGAAGUGUCAGUCCCAGUUCAUGAUGGCACAAGAUGAGAGGCUUAGAGCCACUUCUGAGAUCCUAAACAGUAUGAAGAUCAUUAAGUUACAAUCCUGGGAAGAGAAAUUCAAAAACUCGGUCAAUUCCCUUCGAGAAAGAGAAUUCAAAUGGUUGUCUGAGGGACAAUUUAGGAAGGCUUAUGGAACUUUACUCUACUGGAUGUCACCAACCAUGAUCUCUUCUGUUGUUUUUCUAGGGUGUAUCCUUUUCAAAAGUGUCCCUCUGAAUGCAAGUACUAUAUUCACAGUUUUAGCUUCACUAAGGAGCAUGGGAGAACCUGUGAGAAUGAUACCAGAGGCUCUUUCAGUAAUGAUCCAAGUCAAGGUCUCAUUUGAUCGGCUAAAUGCUUUUUUGCUUGAUGAUGAGUUGAAAGAUGAUGAGAUAAGGAAGCUCCCAUCACCAAAUUCAGAUGAGAGCUUGAGAAUACAAAAAGGCAUUUUCAGUUGGUAUCCUGAAUCAGCAAUUCAAACUCUGAAAGAAGUGAACCUAGAAGCAAAAUGUGAGCAGAAAAUUGCAGUUUGUGGACCAGUUGGAGCUGGAAAAUCAUCACUUUUAUUUGCUAUACUUGGAGAGAUGCCCAAAAUUUCAGGAGCUGUCGAUGUAUUUGGAACCAUAGCCUAUGUUUCUCAAACUUCUUGGAUACAAAGUGGGAUAGUUCGUGAUAACAUACUCUAUGGGAAGCCAAUUAAUGGACAAGAACAAAUAUGAGAAGAUCAUAAAAGCUUGUGCUUUGGUAAGGACAUAAAUAGUUUUGAUCAUGGUGAUCUUACUGAAAUAGGCCAGAGGGGAAUUAACAUGAGUGGAGGGCAAAAGCAAAGGAUUCAGCUGGCUCGAGCUGUCUAUAGUGAUGCUGAUAUCUACCUCCUAGAUGACCCAUUCAGUGCAGUAGAUGCACACACUGCAGCAAUUCUGUUUCAUGAUUGUGUCAUGGAUGCUCUAGCAAAGAAGACUGUGAUUCUUGUGACUCAUCAAGUAGAAUUUCUGUCAGAAGUUGACAAAAUUCUGGUAAUGGAGAGCGGACAAGUUACUCAAUCCGGAAUCAUCGAUUUAUAUGGAACAAAAAUCUUUUGGAUGAACUUAUCAAGUUCAAGGGGACAUAUUUGACAAGGAACUAGAAGCAGCCUUGAUAUUGUGCUUCACUAGUUGAUUGGAUGGGGGCAAGGAUUGUUGCUGCAAUAUUAUGGCCUUUGCAUGUGUUGGGAACAAAACUAGUCUAUAGUAAAAUUCACUCUGCUAUUGGAAUAUCAAAGAUUGCCCACCUCAAAUUUAUAUUCCAGUUUUCCGCACCACAGAGUUAAAGAUCACAAGUUUUACUGAAGCCCAGAUCUCCAAAUGAAGAACCCUGGUUCUGCAUUUGAUAUUAUUUAUGAACACUGCAGAGUCAUGUUCCGUGGCAUUGGUGUUCUGAAGUUUGCUGCUUUGUUAGGUAAAAUCCAUCUUCACUACUUAUAAUUCAGUGUUGCUUUUUAUCUCAGAAUUGAAGAAAAUACCAUUAUUUGGGAAAUAACAGCUAGCUGGUAUGUAAUAUAAUAAGAAGAGUUAAAGUACUAAACUUUUAUUUACUAAAUCAAGUUGGGUUGUGUGAUUCGAUGUGUUGUGUGUGUCUGCAAAAUCUGUGUAGGGUAGUUGCAUUUGUUAAAAUGUAUGUGCAUUGUGACAGAAAAUCAUUUAUUUAAUUAAAGCAGAAAUUUUCACUAUAUACCUUGAGAGGCUUAAGCAAGUCCCAAAAUUUAUAAGUUGUAUUAGACAUGAAGUUUUUUAGGAUUUAGUUUGGCUUUCAGUAAGUUGGUGCUCUGUUUUGGCUUUGCUUAUGUGUUUGGAUUGCUGGUGCAGUACACAUAAUGGAUUGAGAGGUAUGUUUGAUUUAUACUUUUGAUUUGCUUUCUGGUGAUGAUGAAGGUUAUACAUGUUGGUUUUGUGGUCGUAGUGGAGGACUAGACCUCACAUUAAUAGUUUUCUUACUUUAUUCUCUAGGCAAGCCCAAACUAAACCAUUUGAUUUGUGCAGAACAAGAACUUUGAAUUGAUUAAAAAAAAAAAAAAUCUAUAUCAGUAUGUGUAUUGUGUAGAUAUGCAUUUUAAUUGGCUUUUAGUCUUUCUGGAUUUGCUUCUGCAAUGUCUAUCAUUUCUUCUGUUUUGCACUUGUGAAAGAACGAAACACUCACUUCUCAAUGCAUGUUGCGGUUACUAUUCUAUGUAUGGACAUUUCAAGAAGCUGGAUGAAGAGAUUAAAAGGGGAGCUGCAUCUUUGGAAGCAGAAGCCCAACUAUCUCAGGUUUGCAAUUGUCGAUCACUUCAAAGUGGGACAGUUCGUGAUAACAUACUCUACUUGAUUGAUGUAAUGACUACUGCUACUUGUACAUUUUAAUUGUCAUUUUGUAAAUGAAAUUACUUAUAACGAUAAUCUGAUUGAAAUGUUUCUCUUA